rnacentral:rRNA from 1 species
CCUACGGGAGGCAGCAGUGGGGAAUAUUGGGCAAUGGAGGAAACCCUGACCCAGCCACGCCGCGUGAAUGAUUAAGGCCUUCGGGUUGUUAAGUUCUUUUCUAAGGGAAGAAGAAAGUGACGGUACCUUAGGAAUAAGCCUCGCCUAACUACGUGCCAGCAUCCCUGGGUAUACGGAGGGAGCAAGCGUUAUCCGGUAGGACUGGGUGUAAAGGGUGUGUAGGUGGGUCGACAAGUUGGUUGGGUAAUUCGGGGGCUCAACCUCUGCACUACUUCCGAAACUGGUGAACUUGAGUGCAGGAGAGGCAGACGGAAUGCGUGGUGUAGCGGUGAAAUGCGUAGAUAUUAGGAGGAACACCAGUGGCGAAGGCGGUUUGCUGGACUGUAACUGACGCUGAGGCACGAAAGCGUGGGGAGCAAACAGGAUUAGAUACCCGAGUAGUC